rnacentral:tRNA from 1 species
GUGUUAGUAGCUUAGCUAAAGCGUUGGUCUUGUAAGCCAAAGCCGAAGUAAUAUUAACCCUUCCUAAUACA